UUCUUACUGAAAAUAAUAUUAAGUAACAUCUGCUCAGUGAUUUUUUAAAUAGCCGCGGAAAUUUAACCGUGCUAAGGUAGCAUAAUCAUUAGUCUCUUAAUUAGAGACUAGAAUGAAUGAUGAAACGAUUUAAUUACUCUAUUUGUUAAUAAUAAUUUGAAUUUAAAUUAAGAAUAAAAAUGUUCUUAUUUUUAAAAAAGACGACAAGACCCUUUUGAACUUCACUUUAGUUUAGCUGGGGCAGCUAUAAAAAUAUUAUCUUUAUUAUAUUUUUGUAAAUAAAUGAUCCAUUAAAAUUGAUUAUUUGAAUAAGUUACCAUAGGGAUAACAGCGUAAUAUUUAUUUAAAGCUCUUAUUUAAAUAGAUGUUUGCGACCUCGAUGUUGAAUUAGUAUAACUUUAAAGAUGCAGUAAUUUUUAAAGUAGGUCUGUUCGACCUUUUAAUUACUACAU
rnacentral:rRNA from 1 species